GACGAACGCUGGCGGCGUGCCUAAUACAUGCAAGUUGAGCGAUGAAGCUUGGUGCUUGCACCAAUUUGAAGAGCAGCGAACGGGUGAGUAACGCGUGGGGAAUCUGCCUUUGAGCGGGGGACAACAUUUGGAAACGAAUGCUAAUACCGCAUAACAACUUUAAACAUAAGUUUUAAGUUUGAAAGAUGCAAUUGCAUCACUCAAAGAUGAUCCCGCGUUGUAUUAGCUAGUUGGUGAGGUAAAGGCUCACCAAGGCGAUGAUACAUAGCCGACCUGAGAGGGUGAUCGGCCACAUUGGGACUGAGACACGGCCCAAACUCCUACGGGAGGCAGCAGUAGGGAAUCUUCGGCAAUGGACGAAAGUCUGACCGAGCAACGCCGCGUGAGUGAAGAAGGGUUUCGGAUCGUAAAACUCGGUUGGUAGAGAAGAACGUUGGUGAGAGUGGAAAGCUCAUCAAGUGACGGUAACUACACAGAAAGGGACGGCUAACUACGUG
rnacentral:rRNA from 1 species